AAGGAUCAUUAUCGUACAACUGAGGUGCGAAGGCUGUCGCUGACCCUCAAGGGUCGUGCACGCCCGAGCGCUCUCACACAAUCCAUCUCACCUUUGUGCAUCACCGCGUGGGUCCCCUUUGCGGGAGGGCUCACGUUUUCACAUAAAACUCGAUACAGUGUAGAAUGUUUCUUUUGCGGUCACACGCAAUCAAUACAACUUUCAACAACGGAUCUCUUGGCUCUCGCAUCGAUGAAGAACGCAGCGAAAUGCGAUACGUAAUGUGAAUUGCAGAAUUCAGUGAAUCAUCGAAUCUUUGAACGCACCUUGCGCCCCUUGGCAUUCCGAGGGGCACACCCGUUUGAGUGUCGUGAAAUCUUCAAAACCCCUUUUUCUUUGAACCAUUGCGGUCGGAAAAAAAGGAUUUUUGGACUUGGAGGUUUAAUGCUCGCCCUUUCUCUUGAAAGCGAGCUCCUCUCAAAUGAAUUAGUGGGGUCCGCUUUGCUGAUCCUUGACGUGAUAAAAUGUUUCUACGUUUUGGGUUUAGCACUGUCCCUUGGAUGCCUGCUGCUAACCGUCUCAUUGACAAUGAUGGUGCUCCGGUCACUGCCGUCUACAUCGGCGGGAGGCUGGACCCACAAAAAGAAAACCUUGA
rnacentral:rRNA from 1 species